UUGGAGAAGAAAACGGCUUCACACAGGGGGGUUUUAUAUGUCCCCCAAAUUUGAGAGGUUUUGUUCGCCCCACUUGGGGAAUGGAACCCCGGCCCCAAAUUUCUUAGGGGGGGGCAGCCAGUAGGGAAUUUUUCCCACAAGGGACGCAAGUUUGAUGGAGCAACCCCCGCUUGAAUGAAGAAGGCUUUCGGGUCGUAAAAUUCUGUUGUUGGAGAAGAAUGGUCGGCAGAGUAACUGUUGUUGGCGUGACGGUAUCCAACCAGAAAGCCACGGCUAACUACGUGCCAGCAGCCGCGGUAAUACGUAGGUGGCAAGCGUUAUCCGGAUUUAUUGGGCGUAAAGCGAGCGCAGGCGGUUUUUUAAGUCUGAUGUGAAAGCCCUCGGCUUAACCGAGGAAGCGCAUCGGAAACUGGGAAACUUGAGUGCAGAAGAGGACAGUGGAACUCCAUGUGUAGCGGUGAAAUGCGUAGAUAUAUGGAAGAACACCAGUGGCGAAGGCGGCUGUCUGGUCUGUAACUGACGCUGAGGCUCGAAAGCAUGGGUAGCGAACAGGAUUAGAUACCCUGGUAGUCCAUGCCGUAAACGAUGAAUGCUAGGUGUUGGAGGGUUUCCGCCCUUCAGUGCCGCAGCUAACGCAUUAAGCAUUCCGCCUGGGGAGUACGACCGCAAGGUUGAAACUCAAAGGAAUUGACGGGGGCCCGCACAAGCGGUGGAGCAUGUGGUUUAAUUCGAAGCAACGCGAAGAACCUUACCAGGUCUUGACAUCUUUUGAUCACCUGAGAGAUCAGGUUUCCCCUUCGGGGGCAAAAUGACAGGUGGUGCAUGGUUGUCGUCAGCUCGUGUCGUGAGAUGUUGGGUUAAGUCCCGCAACGAGCGCAACCCUUAUGACUAGUUGCCAGCAUUUAGUUGGGCACUCUAGUAAGACUGCCGGUGACAAACCGGAGGAAGGUGGGGAUGACGUCAAAUCAUCAUGCCCCUUAUGACCUGGGCUACACACGUGCUACAAUGGAUGGUACAACGAGUUGCGAGACCGCGAGGUCAAGCUAAUCUCUUAAAGCCAUUCUCAGUUCGGACUGUAGGCUGCAACUCGCCUACACGAAGUCGGAAUCGCUAGUAAUCGCGGAUCAGCACGCCGCGGUGAAUACGUUCCCGGGCCUUGUACACACCGCCCGUCACACCAUGAGAGUUUGUAACACCCGAAGCCGGUGGCGUAACCCUUUAGGGAGCGAGCCGUCUAAGUGGACAACGUUGGA
rnacentral:rRNA from 1 species